UUCACGGAGAGUUUGAUCCUGGCUCAGGACGAACGCUGGCGGCGUGCUUAACACAUGCAAGUGGAGCGACGAACCAGGGCUUGCCCUGGGGCAGAGCCGCGAACGGGUGAGUAACACGUGGGUUACCUGCCCUGAUGACCGGGACAACCCGUCGAAAGACGGGCUAAUACCGGAUGUGCCCUUCGGGGGAAAGGAAGCUUCGGCCUCCGCAUCAGGAUGGGCCCGCGGCCCAUUAGCUUGUUGGUGGGGUAACGGCCUACCAAGGCAACGAUGGGUAGCUGGUCUGAGAGGACGAUCAGCCACACUGGGACUGAGACACGGCCCAGACUCCUACGGGAGGCAGCAGUGGGGAAUCUUGCACAAUGCGCGAAAGCGUGAUGCAGCAACGCCGCGUGGGGGAAGACGGCCUUCGGGUUGUAAACCUCUUUCAGUUGGGACGAAGGUUCAACGGUGAAUAGCCGGCUGAACUGACGGUACCUUCAGAAGAAGCCCCGGCUAACUACGUGCCAGCAGCCGCGGU
rnacentral:rRNA from 1 species